rnacentral:rRNA from 1 species
AACGAACGCUGGCGGCAGGCUUAACACAUGCAAGUCGAGCGCGUAGCAAUACGAGCGGCAGACGGGUGAGUAACGCGUGGGAAUCUACCCAACCCUACGGAAUAACGCAUGGAAACGUGUGCUAAUACCGUAUACGCCCUUUGGGGGAAAGAUUUAUCGGGGAUGGAUGAGCCCGCGUUGGAUUAGCUAGUUGGUGGGGUAAAGGCCUACCAAGGCGACGAUCCAUAGCUGGUCUGAGAGGAUGAUCAGCCACAUUGGGACUGAGACACGGCCCAAACUCCUACGGGAGGCAGCAGUGGGGAAUAUUGGACAAUGGGCGCAAGCCUGAUCCAGCCAUGCCGCGUGAGUGAUGAAGGCCUAGGGUUGUAAAGCUCUUUCACCGGUGAAGAUAAUGACGGUAACCGGAGAAGAAGCCCGGCUAACUUCGUGCCAGCAGCCGCGGUAAAGUGACUACUG